UUUGAUCAAUCAUCACUCUCCUCCUUCCAAGGUCCUAUCAAAUAUCAUUUUAGAGGGAAAGAGUCCGCCAUUGUUGAGCAAUCAGGAAAAUGGGAUCUUCUUUGGAGAGGACAAGGCAACUGUCCCAAUAGGACAACGGACAAGGGGGAAGGUCACUUGAGGAACUACUGGCCCAUGGAAAAUGAGACGGCACAUCUCAGGGGAGAAGUCCAGAGACAAGCAACCAGCCCCCCUUUUCUCCAAGUAAGCUAGGGACUGAGCACAUCAAACCACUCAC
rnacentral:lncRNA from 1 species